rnacentral:rRNA from 1 species
AUUGAACGCUGGCGGCAUGCCUUACACAUGCAAGUCGAACGGCAGCACGGGGCAACCUGGUGGCGAGUGGCGAACGGGUGAGUAAUGCAUCGGAACGUACCUUUCAGUGGGGGAUAACGUAGCGAAAGUUACGCUAAUACCGCAUAUUCUGUGAGCAGGAAAGCAGGGGAUCGCAAGACCUUGCGCUGAUUGAGCGGCCGAUGUCAGAUUAGCUAGUUGGUGAGGUAAAGGCUCAUCAAGGCGACGAUCUGUAGCGGGUCUGAGAGGAUGAUCCGCCACACGGGAACUGAGACACGGUCCAGACUCCUACGGGAGGCAGCAGUGGGGAAUUUUGGACAAUGGGGGCAACCCUGAUCCAGCCAUGCCGCGUGAGUGAAGAAGGCCUUCGGGUUGUAAAGCUCUUUCGGCCGGGAAGAAAUCGCACGGGCUAAUACCCUGUGUGGAUGACGGUACCGGAAUAAGAAGCACCGGCUAACUACGUGCCAGCAGCCGCCGUAAAAC